GUUUUCGACGUCAUAAACACGAUCAACUUUGGUGUUUAUGACGUCGAUAUUCGACGUCAUAAACACGAUCAACUUUGGUGUUUAUGACGUCGAUAUUCGACGUCAUAAACACGAUCAACUUUGGUGUUUAUGACGUCGAUAUUCAUAAACACGUCAACUUUGGUGUUUAUGACGUCGAUAUUCGACGUCAUAAACACGGUCAACUUUGGUGUUUAUGGCGUCGAUAUUCGACGUCAUAAACACGAUAAACUUAGAUGUUUAUGACGUCGAUAUU